rnacentral:rRNA from 1 species
CCUACGGGAGGCAGCAGUGAGGAAUAUUGGUCAAUGGACGAGAGUCUGAACCAGCCAAGUAGCGUGAAGGAUGACUGCCCUAUGGGUUGUAAACUUCUUUUAUAUGGGAAUAAAAUGUUCCACGUGUGGGAUUUUGUAUGUACCAUAUGAAUAAGGAUCGGCUAACUCCGUGCCAGCAGCCGCGGUAAUACGGAGGAUCCGAGCGUUAUCCGGAUUUAUUGGGUUUAAAGGGAACGUAGGUGGAUUGUUAAGUCAGUUGUGAAAGUUUGCGGCUCAACCGUAAAAUUGCAGUUGAAACUGGCAGUCUUGAGUACAGGAGAGGUGGGCGGAAUUCGUGGUGUAGCGGUGAAAUGCUUAGAUAUCACGAAGAACUCCGAUGGCGAAGGCAGUUCACUGGACUGAAACUGACACUGAGGCUCGAAAGUGUGGGUAUCAAACAGGAUUAGAUACCCCGGUAGUC